CCUACGGGAGGCAGCAGUGAGGAAUAUUGGUCAAUGGGCUUACGCCUGAACCAGCCACGUCGCGUGAGGGAAGACUGCCCUAUGGGUUGUAAACCUCUUUUGUCAGGGAGCAACGCCGGCUACGUGUAGCCGUACUGAGAGUACCGUAAGAAAACGCAUCGGCUAACUCCGUGCCAGCAGCCGCGGUAAUACGAAGGAUGCGAGCGUUAUCCGGAUUGAUUGGGUUUAAAGGGUGCGUAGGCGGAAUGCCAAGUCAGCGGUAAAAUCGCGGGGCUCAACCUCGCUCCGCCGUUGAAACUGGCGUUCUUGAGUGGGCGAGAAGUAUGUGGAAUGCGUGGUGUAGCGGUGAAAUGCAUAGAUAUCACGCAGAACUCCGAUUGCGAAGGCAGCAUACCGGCGCCCAACUGACGCUGAAGCACGAAAGCGUGGGUAUCGAACAGGAUUAGAUACCCGAGUAGUC
rnacentral:rRNA from 1 species